rnacentral:rRNA from 1 species
UUCCGUAGGUGAACCUGCGGAAGGAUCAUUACUGUGAAUUAAUACUACACUGCGUGAGCGGAACGAAAACAACAACACCUAAAAUGUGGAAUAUAGCAUAUAGUCGACAAGAGAAAUCUACGAAAAAACAAACAAAACUUUCAACAACGGAUCUCUUGGUUCUCGCAUCGAUGAAGAGCGCAGCGAAAUGCGAUACCUAGUGUGAAUUGCAGCCAUCGUGAAUCAUCGAGUUCUUGAACGCACAUUGCGCCCCUCGGCAUUCCGGGGGGCAUGCCUGUUUGAGCGUCGUUUCCAUCUUGCGCGUGCGCAGAGUUGGGGGAGCGGAGCGGACGACGUGUAAAGAGCGUCGGAGCUGCGACUCGCCUGAAAGGGAGCGAAGCUGGCCGAGCGAACUAGACUUUUUUUCAGGGACGCUUGGCGGCCGAGAGCGAGUGUUGCGAGACAACAAAAAGCUCGACCUCAAAUCAGGUAGGAAUACCCGCUGAACUUAAGCAUAUCAAUAAGCGGAGGA